AGUCGAGAAUAGUCUACAAUGGGGGAGACCCUGAUAGUGCGACGCCGCGUGAACGAAGAAGCUUUUCGGAGUGUAAAGUUCUUUUCUGUAUGAGCAAUGCUUUAUUGUAUAAGAUAUAAUAGAGAGAGAUAUUAGUACAGGAAUAAGCCACGGCUAACUCCGUGCCAGCAGCCGCGGUAAUACGGGGGUGGCAAGCGUUGUCCGGAAUUACUAGGCGUAAAGGGCAGGUAGGCGGAUAUUCAAGUCAGGCGUUAAAGGCAUCAGCUCAACUGGUGUACGGCGUUUGAAACUGGAUAUCUAGAGUCAGGUAGAGGUAGAUGGAAUUCCUAGUGUAGCGGUGGAAUGCGCAGAGAUUAGGAAGAACACCAAAGGCGAAGGCAAUCUACUGGGCCAUGACUGACGCUAAACUGCGAAGGUGUGGGUAUCAAACAGGAUUAGAUACCCUGGUAGUCCACACAGUAAACGAUAUACACUAGAUGUCGGGGGGAAUCUCCUUCGGUGUCGUAGUUAACGCGAUAAGUGUAUCGCCUGGGGAGUACGAUCGCAAGGU
rnacentral:rRNA from 1 species